rnacentral:rRNA from 2 species
UAGGGAAUUUUCGUCAAUGGGGGGAACCCUGAACGAGCAAUGCCGCGUGAGUGAUGAAGGCCUUCGGGUCGUAAAGCUCUGUUGUAAGUGAAGAACGACCAUGAGAGGGAAUGCUCAUGGAGUGACGGUAGCUUACCAGAAAGCCACGGCUAACUACGUGCCAGCAGCCGCGGUAAUACGUAGGUGGCAAGCGUUAUCCGGAAUGAUUGGGCGUAAAGGGUGCGUAGGUGGUCCGAUAAGUCUGAGGUAAAAGAUCGCAGCUCAACUGCGAUAAGCCUUGGAAACUGUUGGACUAGAGUGUAGGAGAGGCAAAUGGAAUUCCAUGUGUAGCGGUAAAAUGCGUAGAUAUAUGGAGGAACACCAGUGGCGAAGGCGGUUUGCUGGCCUACAACUGACACUGAGGCACGAAAGCGUGGGGAGCAAAUAGG